rnacentral:rRNA from 1 species
UUUGUGCUCUAAAGGUGAGCCUACGUCGGAUUAGCUAGUUGGUAGGGUAAAAGCCUACCAAGGCGAUGAUCUGUAGCUGGUCUGAGAGGACGGACAGCCACACUGGGACUGAGACACGGCCCAGACUCCUACGGGAGGUCAGCAGUGGGGAAUAUUGGACAAUGGGGGGAACCCUGAUCCAGCGAUGCCGCGUGUGUGAAGAAGGCCUGCGGGUUGUAAAGCACUUUCAGUGGGAAAGAGAAGCGUCUUGUGAAUAAUGGGACGUGGAGACGUUACUCACAGAAGAAGCACCGGCUAACUCUGUGC